CUUCCCUUCCCUGUUUUGUUGAGUUCUUAUUCUCAGAUUGCUAAAUUCGCCCCUCUUCCAUGGCGAGUGUGGCCUUUCUUCUAGCUUUUUCCUGCUUUCCUUUUCUUUUCCUUUGUACUUCUUCUAUCCGAGUUGUUACCUUCGCCCAUCCCCUAUGGUGGAUUUUUUUACCCGAUCUUUGUUUCCUUCGUAGUAUUACAUAUUUUACUUUUCUAGGGUUUUGAUUCUCGGAAGAUAUCAAUAGAAAAUCAAACUAAGAUCUCAAUAUAAAGAGUUUAAGUGUACUAUCUUUGGGAGGUUCUCCCUAUUGUCACUUUUCUCGGUGGUCAGUUUGGAAAAAUCUUGUGUUUUUAUGGGUAUUGUUGGCUGUUUCUUCAUAGAGGAUCUGAUCAAGCUUCUAAGUUGCCCGGUUUUGCACCUCUCCUAAUCCCCUUUUCUCUCUAAUCACAGUCAAGAUGAAAGCAUUCGACAAAUUUGAAAAUACAUUAGACGCAGCUACUACUGAUCGACAGCAAGCCUGGCAAAGGAUUGAGAAAAUUCUUGAAAGCACACUGCUCCGGCAACAUAUUAGUUGUUGCUGAUUCUAAACUUGGAUAUGCAAUCAAGGAGAAUCUGCAAAUUGACUGUGUUCACAAUAAUGCUAUGAUGGAGCUGAUGAGAGGGGUAAGAAGUCAGUUGACUGAACUCAUCUCUGGCUUUGGAGCUCAAGAACUUGUCCAAUUAGCUUAGGUCUAUCUCACAGCUUAUCGAGAUACAAGUUGAAGUUCAGUCCUGAUCUUAAUACAGAAUGGUAUGCCUGACAUUUUCCGGAGCUUGUAAAGAUUUUGCAAGACAUUAUAGUCUAUGCCAAGACUAUGAAGUUGAUGUUGAAUCGUGUUACUGCUGCGAAGUUGACUUUCUGUGAGGUAUUGAAUAUGGACUAUGGAGAGGAAAGUUCCGAACUCUCUCUGCUUUCAACUACAUGUUCCCACCAUAAACACAUUUUUGAGGUUUGUAUAAUGUCUUCUUAACAUCCUGACUUUUUAAUCAUGUUAUAUUGACCUCCUUAAAACAGGUUAGUUGCUUGUAGUUUCUUCUUCCCACGAGAGAUAUAUCCAUGCAACUUAAGCUACUUGCAAGGUAUAUUUUAAAUUCUGAUCAUAAGCAGUAACUUAUCCAACAAAGUAUUUCAGACUGCUAUCCAAGGCAGUAUUUGUUACUGCCAGUCAAUUUUAGUUAAUUGGAUAAUAUUGCCCUGACUACAGUUGACAAUGCAGCAAUGAAUUGGAAACGAGAAAGGUCAUUACCCUUUAUCAUUUAGUACUAAGUACAGCCUAAUUCUUAAACUAAAACUUGCAAAAUUCUUUUUCAAAUUGCAGGAACGUUUGGUUGACUUGGCAAAUUAUCAAGCAGAACCGGACCUUGUACAAUUCUGCGUUCUAAGAUUCCUCCCUUAUUGAGUUAUUGUUGCUUAUGCAGUAUUUCUUGCUAUAUGGACUCUUGAUCAAUCUGAUUAUCCAUGAUCAAUAUAUUUUUCUUUACA